rnacentral:rRNA from 1 species
CAGCAGUCGCCGCGGUAAUACGUAGGGUGCAAGCGUUAAUCGGAAUUACCGGGCGUAAAGCGUGCGCAGGCGGUUAUAUAAGUCAGAUGUGAAAUCCCCGGGCUCAACCUGGGAACUGCAUUUGAGACUGUAUGGCUAGAGUGUGUCAGAGGAGGGUAGAAUUUCACGUGUAGCAGUGAAAUGCGUAGAUAUGUGGAGGAAUACCGAUGGCGAAGGCAGCCCCCUGGGAUAACACUGACGCUCAUGCACGAAAGCGUGGGGAGCAAACAGGAUUAGAUACCCCGGUAGUCCCUGUCUCUUAUAC